UGCAGGUAUCUAUUGUAACUGUGUAUUUUUUGUAUAGAAUAAGUGGUAGUUUUUUAGGCUAAAACAUCUGUGAAAUACCACUCUUAAA
rnacentral:rRNA from 1 species